CCCCUACGGGGGGCAGCAGUGAGGAAUAUUGGUCAAUGGGCGCGAGCCUGAACCAGCCAAGUCGCGUGAGGGAGGACGGCCCUACGGGUUGUAAACUUCUUUUGCCGGGGAGCAACGGGCGUCAAGUGUGGCGCCACUGAGAGUACCCGGAGAAAAAGCAUCGGCUAACUCCGUGCCAGCAGCCGCGGUAAUACGGAGGAUGCGGGCGUUAUCCGGAUUUAUUGGGUUUAACGGGUGCGUAGGCGGAUCGUUAAGCUAGUGGUCAAAUUGAGGGGCUCAACCUCUGCCCGCCAUUGCAGCUGGCG
rnacentral:rRNA from 1 species